rnacentral:rRNA from 1 species
GAUGAACGCUGGCGGCGUGCCUAAUACAUGCAAGUCGAGCGAACGGACGAGAAGCUUGCUUCUCUGAUGUUAGCGGCGGACGGGUGAGUAACACGUGGAUAACCUACCUAUAAGACUGGGAUAACUUCGGGAAACCGGAGCUAAUACCGGAUAAUAUUUUGAACCGCAUGGUUCAAAAGUGAAAGACGGUCUUGCUGGCACUUAUAGAUGGAUCCGCGCUGCAUUAGCUAGUUGGUAAGGUAACGGCUUACCAAGGCAACGAUGCAUAGCCGACCUGAGAGGGUGAUAGGCCACACUGGAACUGAACCACGGACAAGACUACUACGAGACGCAGCAGUAGGGAAUCGUCCGCAAUGGGCGAAAGCCUGACGGAGCAACGCCGCGUGAGUGAUGAAGGCGUUCGGAUCGUAAAAACCUGUUAUGAGGGAAGAACAUCUGUGGAAGUAAAUGUGCCCAUCUUGACGGUAAUUAAUAAGAAAGCAACGGCUAACUACGUG